GAUGAACGCUGGCGGCGUGCCUAAUACAUGCAAGUCGAGCGAACAGACGAGGAGCUUGCUCCUCUGACGUUAGCGGCGGACGGGUGAGUAACACGUGGAUAACCUACCUAUAAGACUGGGAUAACUUCGGGAAACCGGAGCUAAUACCGGAUAAUAUAUUGAACCGCAUGGUUCAAUAGUGAAAGACGGUUUUGCUGUCACUUAUAGAUGGAUCCGCGCCGCGUUAGCUAGUUGGUAAGGUAACGGCUUACCAAGGCAACGAUGCGUAGCCGACCUGAGAGGGUGGUCGGCCACACUGGAACUGAGCCGCGGUCCAGACUCCUACGGGAGGCAGCAGUAGGGAAUCGUCCGCAAUGGGCGGAAGCUUGGCGGAGCAACGCCGCGUGAGUGAUGAAGUUCUUCGGAUCGUAAAACUCUGUUAUUAGGGAAGAACAAUUGUGUAAGUAACUAUGCACGUCUUGACGGUACCUAAUCAGAAAGCCACGGCUAACUACGUG
rnacentral:rRNA from 1 species